UGAGGGUAUGUUAGCAUGUGCAUGUGGAAGUCAGGAGACAACUCUGGAGUCAGCUCUGACCUUAACACUUGUUACAGGAAUCAAACUCAUUAGCAGCAAAUGUGUUUACCCAGUUAAUCAUCUUGACAGCUCCUUACUAGCAAGUUCGAACAGUGUUGGAUUUAGAAGGACUUUGCCUUGGGAACGCUCUAUAACUGAGGAAAUUUGUUUCUGUUGUUUGGAACCACUGCUCUGUCUGUAGUAAUAUCUUUGUUACUGUGAACAUCUGUUUUUAACCCUGGCUAUUGAGACAUCCUCAGGGAAAAGAGACGACAUCCUUUCAGCCCCCACUGCACCAGUUGUUUUCCUUCUGACCUGCAUUCUGCAUUCCCUAGCUCGCCAGCUGCUGUAUUGCAACUACAUUUCUUUGGGAUUGUCAGUUUGAAAAAGGAGGAAUGGCAUGAUUAGAAAAAUGUUUGCUUUUUCUGUUGUGCUGGUAGUGGAAGUUCUUCCUGUGUAAUGAAAACACUUGUGUUUUUUUUUUUUUUUUAACUAUUGUGAAAUUACUUGCAUUAGAAUCAUGAGAUAAGUUUUCAGAAAACAUAUGGUUUACCUUGUUCAAGAGUUCUGCACAAUUUGUUUCUUUUAUUUAGUAGUCUUUAUAUAGCAAUAUUUUAUGUGUUUAUAUUGUAUGAGUCUUUUGCCAGCAUGUAUAUGUGUACAUGAGGUGUGUGCCUGGCACUCACAGAGGCUAGAAGAGAGCGGUGAAUCUCCUGGAAAGGGAGCGGUGGGUGCUUGGGAGCUACCAUGUGAGUCCUAGGAGCUCUUAGCACCAGCACAAUUCUUUAGCCCCUUACUCUUUUUUAUACGAUGCCAUUGAUCAAAAAGGCUGUUGUCAGAACUUUCUGGGUUACGCUCCAUACAUUCACUGAUCGUCUAGUUGGAAUUUUUUUUCCUUGAAGAAAUAGAUUGCUUUAAAAGUCUCUAUCAUGAAGAAUAUAACCACGGGGAUCAGGCUAUCUAAAGAGGAAUGGAUAAGUUGGCUGUAUUGACUUACUCGAAGAUCUUAAUAAAGUUCCAGUGCCCUAUUCCACAGCUUCUAAUUUCUCAAGGCUAAAAGGAAGGCUGAGAAUAGUUUUUAGCAUUUCAAUGCACAAAGGAGUAAAAUACUCAGAUCUUUUCUUUUAUUAAGGUUAAUGUUUUUCGUCCCUGUCCAUUUGUGUGCCCCUAGUAUCUUAGCAGACUGUCUCCUUGGCAGGAGUGCAUAUGCAUUUUGCACCACACUGAUUCUGCAGAGCAGAAUCCUUUUGGUACCAGAUCGUCUCUGAUGUUAUAUUCAUUUCAGCUUCUCUGACACUUUAGCUUACUGAAUGGUGUUGGAAUAUCUUAUUUUCUGGUACAAAUUUGAAAACAUUUAUACCAAAUAUCUCAUUUGGUAUAAUAAACCAUUGCUUUUGAUACUGGCCUAAAAGAAUUUCUACAGUUUUCUUUCAAGAAAGAAGCAAGGAAUACAGAGAAAUAGCUUGUUUAACCUCAAGACUUCACAUAACUAUUGCUGUAUUUUAUUUUAGGAUUGUGAAAAAGCAUUUGAAGGCAGGUUUAAGGAGACAGACUUUUUUAUCUGAAGCCAAAGCAGACAAAAAGAAAAGAAACUUGCAAAUGGAAAAAAAAGAAAUUAACAAAUGGAGGCAAUUCGAGUGUGAGCUUCAACGAUGAAACUAUAUAGAUUGACUUAAGAGUUUGGGGGAGCACAGGUUAGAGCAGUUGUCCACUGUAGUUGAACCCCUAAAUAAAUAAAUAAAUACC
rnacentral:lncRNA from 1 species